CCCCAGGGGCUUCCCCUCCGUGGUACGGCCACCUGCCCGUCGCGGGGGGGAGAGCGUGGCCCCCGCGAGGCGACACCCACCCCAUCCCGCGGCUGCUGCUGCUGCUGCUGCCUGCAGGGGUCGGGUCAGAAGUACGGUGACGUUCACCAACUCACGGGGCACGGACGUGACACCCACCUGGAUGCUGCCCACAAGGAAACCUAGAGCGUGGAAGGGGCCCGUGGGAGUCCAGCUCUUGCUGGGAAGGAAUUUUCUCAGACACGGACCUCAUUUCCUCCUGGUGGGAUCAUACUAGUUCUUGCCAAUGGAAGAUGUGAGUCAUUCUCCAGUACAGGGGGUGAAAAAAUUGUUCAUCUGGCAAACUUCCUUCAGGAUAUUCUCCAAAACUGUAAACUCCAUAAGGACAGGACUUUCUGCUUUUUUCACUGCUAUAUUCGCAGGUUUGGAACAGCGCUUGACAUGGGUAGUUUAAUGAAUAUUUGAUGAAUGGAUUCACCACAGCAGUGACCUGCUUCAGGAUGUCUCCCCUAAUACUCCCAAGGUCUGACCUCUGUGCCACUCCUAUGCAUUCAGAAACAUUCUGGGCUACUUCUAUUAUAUAUUCUAUUAUAUAUUCGACUAAAUGUCCACGAUGUUAACUUGUCAGUCUACCCACUAGAGUCUAAACUCUUUGUGAGCAGGAAAUGAAUCUCCUUUAUUUGUAUCUCCAGUGCCAAGCACUGACACAAAAUAAAUGAUUAAUAAAUGG